GAGAAGGGGGUUUGUGUGAGAUUUGGGGUUUAUUUGGGGUUUGUUUGGGGUUUGAUCUGAGCCCGAGUACAGGAACGGCAGCAGCUCCCCGUGGAUGAAAUCCUUGGUCUG